rnacentral:misc_RNA from 1 species
CUGCCCUCGAGUGGCCGCAGCAGCCCGCGCGCAGCAGAACACGGCAAAAAAAACCCUAGCCGCCGCAGCAGCCCCCGCGCGCUCGCGGCAAAAAAGCCUAGCCGCCGCAGCAGCCCGCGCGCGCUCCCUUCACGCCGCCACAGCUCGUCACCGCUCGCGCUCGUCCCCGAGGCGGUCCUCUUCACGGUGGAGAAGGCGCUUCACACCGCACGUCACAGCCUCAUGCUUGCUUUGCCUUGGAUUCCUUUCCGUGUUUUUUCCUUCUCCAUCCUUCGCUCAUCACAUCAGACCAGGAAGUCAGAAGACACCGACCAGAAGCAAAGCAGCAGCGCUCGCCCCUUCUUCUCCGCCGCUGGUCGCAAGAUGGAGAACCACCGCAACUUCAGGGACUUCUUAUCCCAAGGUUGCUCUUCAUCGACGUCCAGGAGCCGCACUGGUCAUGAAGCUCCCGAGGACGACGACUUUGGCACCUUCUCGCAGUCGCCGUUUGCUCUGCCACCACGCAUCAAUGUCCCAGCACCUCGCAGCCACAUUGAAGCUCUUGAUCUGAACUCCCAGUCCCAGGGUUUGCCUCCUCUUGGUCGUGGUAGAUCAGCGCGCACACUAUGUCAAUCCACGAGAUCCAUUUCAGCUCCUAUUUCUCAUGCCCGAGGUGCAAUUCGAGGUUGCCGUGGAGUUAGGGGGAGAGGCACUAGUAGUCGUGGUGGAGGUUGA